rnacentral:rRNA from 1 species
UCGAGAAUCUUCGGCAAUGGGGGUAACCCUGACCGAGCGACGCCGCGUGCGAGAUGAAGGCCUUCGGGUUGUAAAUCGCUGUCAGUGGGGAGGAAAUGCCGGUGGGUUCUCCCAUCGGUUUGACCUAUCCGCAGAGGAAGGACGGGCUAAGUUCGUGCCAGCAGCCGCGGUAAGACGAACCGUCCAAACGUUAUUCGGAAUCACUGGGCUUAAAGGGUGCGUAGGCGGUCCGGAAAGUUGGGUGUGAAAGCCCUCGGCUCAACCGAGGAAUUGCGCCCAAAACUGCCGGGCUCGAGGAAGACAGAGGUGAGCGGAACUUAGGGUGGAGCGGUGAAAUGCGUUGAUAUCCUAAGGAACACCAGUAGCGAAAGCGGCUCACUGGGUCUUUUCUGACGCUGAUGCACGAAAGCUAGGGGAGCGAAGAG